AUUGAGGCUAGAGUCACACCCUGACAUUCUUGUUGUUUUUGGUGUGCUAUAGUUCUCGGAGAAAGACUACUGAUCUUUAUUCACUGCUUUUGGCAUUCCAUGCCAUAGUAAGUCACUAGAUCAGUAACAAGU